rnacentral:ncRNA from 14 species
GGGUGUAUAGCUCAGUUGGUAGAGCAAUAGGCUUUUAACUUAAAGGUCGCAGGUUCAAGUCCUGCUAUACCCA